AACGAACGCUGGCGGCAUGCCUAACACAUGCAAGUCGAACGAUUGCCUUCGGGUGAUAGUGGCGCACGGGUGCGUAACGCGUGGGAAUCUGCCCUUAGGUUCGGAAUAACAGCUGGAAACGGCUGCUAAUACCGGAUGAUAUCGCGAGAUCAAAGAUUUAUCGCCUGAGGAUGAGCCCGCGUUGGAUUAGGUAGUUGGUGGGGUAAAGGCCUACCAAGCCGACGAUCCAUAGCUGGUCUGAGAGGAUGAUCGGCCACACUGGGACUGAGACACGGCCCAGACUCCUACGGGAGGCAGCAGUGGGGAAUAUUGGACAAUGGGCGCAAGCCUGAUCCAGCAAUGCCGCGUGAGUGAUGAAGGCCCUAGGGUUGUAAAGCUCUUUUACCCGGGAAGAUAAUGACUGUACCGGGAGAAUAAGCCCCGGCUAACUCCGUG
rnacentral:rRNA from 1 species